rnacentral:rRNA from 6 species
GCGAGGAAACCCGCUGAACUUAAGCAUAUCAAUAAGCGGAGGA